CCUACGGGGUGCAGCAGUGAGGAAUAUUGGUCAAUGGACGAGAGUCUGAACCAGCCAAGUAGCGUGAAGGAUGACUGCCCUAUGGGUUGUAAACUUCUUUUAUAUGGGAAUAAAACGUUCCACGUGUGGGUUUUUGUAUGUCCCAUAUGAUUAAGGAUCGGCUAACUCCGUGCCAGCAGCCGCGGUAAUACGGAGGAUCCGAGGGUUAUCCGGAAUCAUUGGGGGUAAAGGGUUCGUAGGUGGCAUGUAAAGUCAGGUGUUAAAGGCGCAGGCUCAACCUGUGUAUGGCACUUGAUACUUGCAGGCUGGAGUGCGGGAGAGGUAAGUGGAAUUCCUGGUGUAGCGGUGAAAUGCUUAGAUAUCAGGAGGAACAUCGGUGGCGUAGGCGCUUUACUGGGCCGUAAUUGACGCUGAGGAACGAAAGCCAGGGUAGCAAAUGGGAUUAGAUACCCCAGUAGUC
rnacentral:rRNA from 1 species